AUUGAACGCUGGCGGCACGCCUAACACAUGCAAGUCGAACGAGUGGCGGACGGGUGAGUAAUGUCUGGGAAACUGCCUGAUGGAGGGGGAUAACUACUGGAAACGGUAGCUAAUACCGCAUACCAUCGGAUGUGCCCAGAUGGGAUAAGUUAGUAGGUGGGGUAAAGGCUCACUUAGGCGACGAUCCCUAGCUGGUCUGAGAGGAAGACCAGCCAAACUGGACUGAAGACGCGGUCCAGAAUCCUACGUGGGGCAGCAGUGGGAAAUAUUGCAAAAUGGGGUAAAGCCGGAUGCAGCCAGGCCGCGUGUAUGAAGAAGGCCUUCGGGUUGUAAAGUACUUUCAGCGGGGAGGCGUUACCCGCAGAAGAAGCACCGGCUAACUCCGUGCCAGCAGCCGCGGUAAUAC
rnacentral:rRNA from 1 species